rnacentral:lncRNA from 1 species
GAAACCCUUCGAGGCAUCCAAGUGUUGGGGCCCACCCUAAUUCAGACCUUCCAAAAGAUGACCAUGACCUUGAACUUCCUGGGGAGCCCUCCUCUGACUGUGUGCUGGCGUCUCAAGCCUGAGUGCCUCCCGCUGGAGGAAGGGGAGUGCCACCCUGUGUCCGUGGCCAGCACAGCGUACAACCUGACCCACACCUUCAGGGACCCUGGGGACUACUGCUUCAGCAUCCGGGCCGAGAAUAUCAUCAGCAAGACACAUCAGUACCACAAGAUCCAGGUGUGGCCCUCCAGUAAGUGACACCUCGCCUUCUG